UGGAGGAGACUUCAAGUCCUCACAGGUGAGAUAUACUGUAUUGAUGGAGGAGACUUCAAGUCCUCACAGGUGAGAUAUACUGUAUUGAUGGAGGAGACUUCAAGUCCUCACAGGUGAGAUAUACUGUAUUGAUGGAGGAGACUUCAAGUCCUCACAGGUGAGAUAUACUGUAUUGAUGGAGAGCCAAACAAUGCCAAAACAUGGUGGCUGCUUCAUUGCCUCCUAGUGCAUGUAGUUUCCUUGUUCCUAGUUAGCAUGUUUUGCUAAUUUUCUGCCUUCAUAUUCAGUCCAACAAUACUGAUAUUCUACUGAUACAGUGACCCAAGGGUGAUAGUCCCACUCAUUGAGAGUCGAUGGACAUUUUACAUUCUACACCAUUUGGUAGAAAUAACAUGCUUCAAUUUGUAUACAGUCUAAGCAUUCAUCUUAAUGU